UGAAGUGAGCUUCCUAGAAUUCUGUAAUACCAGCCCUUUUUUUUAAAGGCCCUGUUUCUAGCAGAUACUCAGCUGGCAUCCCCAAAAGAUGUCUUAGCAGGGCUUUAUUGGCAGGCACCAAAGCCCCAGGGCCUCUGGCAAAGAGAGUGAGGGUGUAAGAGAACAAAAGCCCGAAUGAAACCCAAGAAAGUUUCCAAGCGAUGCAAGAAAGAGGGAAGCGCUGCCUGAGGGAGCUCGGGACAGAAUGAACACAGUCGAAAGCCCUUUCCAGAAAGACCGAGUCGAGCGUGAGCCUUCAUCACCUCAUGUCACACAUACCAAGCCUUUCUGCUUGAACAAGAGCCAGGAAUCCAUUGACUGCAGCUCUGGCACUUUGCUACUGGAUCCAUUAGUCUGACUCUGGCUGAAGAAAAUUCCUGUGACACCUGACUGCUAAAUACUUUUAUUUCACUGCUGUAUUGAUCUUGCAGCAGUUUGAGAUCUUAUAUCAGAGAGAAGGUCAGUACAGAGGUGACCUGGGGGAAUGAGCUAUACCUUACAUAAGAUGUAUGAAUAUCUUUCAUUUUAAGGAUAAUAAGAAAAGCAUAUCAUCCAACCAGUUGUAAAAGGAACCUCACUUUCUUUUGAUUUAGCAAGAUAACAUUUUAUAUAUGAAAACACUCAUCACACUACAAAGAUUUAUACUGUUUUAAUUUAAGAUGGAAAAUAUAAUUUUAGAAUAUUAUAGCACAUACUGGGUAUAGAAGAUUAGCACACACUAGCUAAUACCAGCAUCAA